UGUGCAUCGUAGUAAAAUGCUCUGACUCCUGUGGUGGCCGCUAAUGCACCACGGAUGUUCGAGCAUGUGCUAUGGUGUCUA
ensembl:miRNA MIR105-1 microRNA 105-1